GGGGAUUUAGCUCAGUGGUAGAGUGCUUGCCUAGGAAGCGCAAGGCCCUGGGUUCCAUCCCCAGCUCCG
rnacentral:tRNA from 1 species